CUCAAGCAAUGGGGUGACGCAGGAAGGUAACCCAACCCAGGCGAUGGUUGACCUGGGGUAAGGAUGUAGGGCGAGAUGUAGGCAAAUCCGCAUCUCACGUGCCUGAGAUCUGACGCCGAGCCGAUUCAGGUGAAGUGGGUAAUCCUAUGCUGCCAAGAAAAGCCUCUAGCGAGUGUUAAAGCCGCCCGUACCCCAAACCGACACAGGUGGUCAGGUAGAGAAUACUAAGGCGAUCGAGAUAACUAUGGUUAAGGAACUCGGCAAAAUGCCCCCGUAACUUCGGGAGAAGGGGGGCCCGUUCUGGUGAGGAGAUUUACUCUCCGAGCUGGGAUUGGCCGCAGAGACCAGGCCCAAGCGACUGUUUACUAAAAACACAGGUCCAUGCUAAGUCGCAAGACGCUGUAUAUGGACUGACGCCUGCCCGGUGCUGGAACGUUAAGGGGACGGGUUAGCGACUUCGGUCGCGAAGCUCAGAACUUAAGCGCCAGUAAACGGCGGUGGUAACUAUAACCAUCCUAAGGUAGCGAAAUUCCUUGUCGGGUAAGUUCCGACCUGCACGAAUGGCGUAACGACUUGGGCGCUGUCUCAACCGUAGACUCGGCGAAAUUGCACUACGAGUAAAGAUGCUCGUUACGCGCGGCAGGACGGAAAGACCCCGGGACCUUUACUACAGCUUGGUAUUGGUGGUCGAUUCGAUUUGUGUAGGAUAGGUGGGAGACUGUGAACUUCGGACGCCAGUUCGAAGGGAGUCAUCGUUGAAAUACCACUCUGAUCGUAUUGGCUGUCUAACCUAGAUCCGUAAUCCGGAUCAGGGACAGUGCCUGGUGGGUAGUUUAACUGGGGCGGUUGCCUCCUAAAAUGUAACGGAGGCGCUCAAAGGUUCCCUCAGCCUGGUUGGCAAUCAGGUAUCGAGUGUAAGUGCACAAGGGAGCUUGACUGUGAGACUGACGGGUCGAGCAGGGACGAAAGUCGGAACUAGUGAUCCGGCGCUGGCAAGUGGAAGCGGCGUCGCUCAACGGAUAAAAGGUACCCCGGGGAUAACAGGCUGAUCUUGCCCAAGAGUCCAUAUCGACGGCAUGGUUUGGCACCUCGAUGUCGGCUCGUCGCAUCCUGGGGCUGGAGUAGGUCCCAAGGGUUGGGCUGUUCGCCCAUUAAAGCGGCACGCGAGCUGGGUUUAGAACGUCGUGAGACAGUUCGGUCCCUAUCCGCCGCGCGCGUAAGAGUCUUGAGAAGAUCUGUCCCUAGUACGAGAGGACCGGGAUGGACGAACCUCUGGUGUGUCAGUUGUCCUGCCAAGGGCACUGCUGAUUAGCUACGUUCGGAAGAGAUAACCGCUGAAAGCAUCUAAGCGGGAAACUCGCUUCAAGAUGAGGGCUCUCACAGGGUUAACCUGGUAAGGCCCCCAGUAGACCACUGGGUUGAUAGGCCGGAAGUGGAAGUGCGGUAACGCAUGCAGCUGACCGGUACUAAUAGGCCGAGGACUUGACC
rnacentral:rRNA from 1 species